GGAAGGUGUUGCUUAAGGCCGGGCUCGAGGAGGCGAGACGGGGCCAGCGCCUGAACCUCAUGGCCUUUCUCCCCUGUGAAAUGAAUCCAGCCAACAGCCAAUGUUUGCCGAUUUCCUGCCGCGCAGGUCUCCCGCUCUGACCACAGAGGGGUGCCGUCUGCCAUCACUGCCAGCCUCUCCAGAUCUCUGGCCUCUUGCAGUUACCCUGGUGUUGAGGAGGGCCGGUCACUGCCUCGCCCAGCCUGCUGCUGAACCCGCUGAUGCCCAGGCCACCCGCCUGCAUCUUGAUUGCCGACUUGAGCUCGUGAUUCUCCCGAAUGAGCCACACCAGCUUCUUCAGUUCCUCGUUUUCCCGCACCAGCCUCUCGAUCUGAUGCCGAAGCCCCUCAUAAUUGUUUUGUUUAUGAGAAAUGGGUGAAAACAGAAAGCAAAAACCGCACCCAGAUGAAUGGACCACAACAACAUAGGACCGUGCAAAGCGCACACACCUCGGACACCUGCCAGCACCGCAGCUCGCUGCACCUCCCUGUGCUGAGCCACGCCUCGCCACAUCCGUGUCCCAACCUCCCAUCCGCUUUCAGGCGACUCGCUUCACAGUAACCCACAAGCCACGGCCCUUCCCCCGCCACUUCUAUAAACUGGCUUCAGGUCUUCUUCAAGGUCUCACUUAUACCAAAGGGAAAGAAUCUUCAUUAAAGUCCGUAUUUCUUCAAAAAAAAAAAGAAAAGUCUGCUUGGCCUUGGUUGUCAUCUGGACAUUUGACUUCGGGAGAGUUCCCAUAAUUCUCAGAACUGAUAAACUGAUAAGAAUGGCUCACUGUGCCUAAACUGUUGGUUCAAACAACGUGGCUUAUGCUGAGCUUCCGAGUUCCUUCUGAGAGUCUGGAAUUUUGGUACCUGCUAGGCAGAGGGUGCCUGUAUGAUCAGCCCCCUAUGAGAACCUUGGGUGCUGAGUCUCUAAUAAUCUUCCUUGACAGACAACAUUGCACGUGUGUGGCCCCAACUCAUUGCUCAAGGA